UCCCUAACAGGCAUUGGCUCACCCCAUUCUGAAUUUCUAGAUCAGAAACCAGGGAGACCUCCUGAUUCCUCACCCAGGAGGGUAAGAACAAAUAGCCUAAAGGACAGUGGCAUGGUGGAGCACACCUUCAAUCCCAGCACUCUGUGAGUUCAAGGCCCGUCUGAUCUACAGAGGGAUAGCCAGGACUACAUAGAGAGAACCUGCCUCAAAAAAAAAAAAAAAAAAAAAGUACUUCAAUGAGUGUGAGCUGUGGUCCUCCCGUGAAGACUAUACCUGGGAUUGUUCACUAAAGUUUAUUUCUGACCCCCUUCCUCAGAGCAGCCCUUCAAAACUGCUUCUGAGAAAUUCUAACCUCCUGAAUGAGGGGGGUGGGGGGUAGGGGGUGGACAACAAUAACAAGCUGAUUUUUCUCUCCAAGAGACAAUCUCUGUGAAGUGCAAGAAGCCUCCGCCUCCGCCAAGGAGAACAGCUUUUCAGUUUGUUUCUGGAAGCUCCUUAAGUUCCGCUGGAAGAGUGUCAACAAGCCAACUGUUAUCUCAGCCUGGAGAAAGCACACUGAUCAUUUAUAGAUCAGAAACAAAGGACUUGUUUCCAGGCAGAAAAUGGAGGGGAAGAGUCUCGUUGGAACGACAGAUAGGCCUAUGUCGGUGAUGUGGAAGGACUUGGGAAGCCCAGUUGGUGUUUCUCAGAGCAGAGCAUCUAAACCAGGCUUGGCCAACUUGGUUCAGCAGUGUAGGUGCGAUGCAAACACCCAGAUGACCCAAGUUGCUAUCGACUAUCUACGACUUUUCGACUCUCCAACAAUUACCAAUGACAUUUAUUAAAAUUCGAUAAAAUACUGGUAGAAUUUCAA